AUACCUUGGCCAGAGCAUAACCGAUUAUCUUCACCCAAGAGACCUACUGUUGGUCAAUCGUUUUGGUUUUAAAGGUAAAUACAUUGUUAGUCACAAUGUUUAGUUACUGGGCCAAAAGGAAAAUAAUAAUGAAAAGAGUUGAGAGGGACAAACAGGACAUUCACUUGAAUCACUACAUUCUACAGAAGUUGCAUUGAUUCCAGAAAACCAGGAAAAUGUUGAGCCAUCUGUAGACUUCAGAGCUGGUAUGUAAAAUGUAUUGCUGUGAUGCUUAAUUUGUGAUCCUGUAACUAAACUGUACACUUUGUUAGAUUUUCAAAUUUCUGUUCCCUCUUUCUCAGAACCAGGUUUCUCCCCAGUAAUCCAGACUCCACUUCACAGAGCCAAGAGUUUGAGUACAAGGCACUUGACUUUCUGGAUAAAAGGUGUGGAGUUCGUCAAGUACUAAACUUUACACCCCCAGCAGAAAAUGUACCCUGGCAGCAAAUGGGUGAAAAGGCUGGAGGAGAAAGUCAUCGCUCCGUUAUUGGCCCUUGGACUCCCCUGGCGUCGCAUGUACAGCAUGAAGUUUUCAGCAAUGAAGUGCCUUUAGUUUUCCAGAACGAGAACCAAGCCCUGAGGGAGGAGAACCAAGCCCUGAGGGAGGAGAGCCAAGCCCUGAGGGAGGGGAGCCAAGCCCUGAGGGAGGGGAGCCAAGCCCUGAGGGAGGGGAGCCAAGCCCUGAGGGAGGGGAGCCAAGCCCUGAGGGAGGGGAGCCAAGCCCUGAGGGAGGGGAGCCAAGCCCUGAGGGAGGGGAGCCAAGCCCUGAGGGAGGGGAGCCAAGCCCUGAGGGAGGGGAGCCAAGCCCUGAGGGAGGGGAGCCAAGCCCUGAGGGAGGGGAGCCAAGCCCUGAGGGAGGGGAGCCAAGCCCUGAGGGAGGGGAGCCAAGCCCUGAGGGAGGGGAGCCAAGCCCUGAGGGAGGGGAGCCAAGCCCUGAGGGAGGGGAGCCAAGCCCUGAGGGAGGGGAGCCAAGCCCUGAGGGAGGGGAGCCAAGCCCUGAGGGAGGGGAGCCAAGCCCUGAGGGAGGGGAGCCAAGCCCUGAGGGAGGGGAGCCAUGCACGAGCAGCUUCAGGUGACAGCGGCUCGCUUCAAGAGCAGGUGAAGCUAUUUGGGACAAUGCUGAAGAUGUUUGCUCGCACUGGGCAAUCAGGUGCAGAUCAGACCCUAGUGCUGCGACGUCUUGGAGAGUUUGGCAAUGUUGUGCGUAGCAUGGAAAACAAAAUGGACACUAUGCUGCAACAUUUCAGUGCCAAUGUGUCUGUUGGAGAGCUAUCCCUGCCAGGGGAUGUUACUCCCCCUAGACACCCAGGAAGAUUUGGUGUUUCUUGACAGCAUUUUGAGGGGGGAUAAAGAGCUCCAGGAACGAUUUCUUCGGUUUUUGGCUAUCAAAUGUGGGAGGGACCUGAAGACAACAGUGUGGAAGCCAGAAAUUCAACACUGCUGUUUGCUCCUUGGGGUUUAAGGCCGGGUGUCUCUGUAAAGCACUUUGUGACAACUGCUGUUGUAAAAAGCGCUUUAUAAAUACAUUUUGAUUGAUUGAUUGAGGUCAGCAUUGCAGUUAUAAUGGUCUGUUCUACUACUGUUUUUACCUCUGUAUUUUUAUAUAUGUAUAUCAAGUUUUGUUUAUCACAGAUACAAGAGACACAUCUUAAUGCAGCAUGGUGUAAAUAUUGUGCUCCAGGUCAGCAAUGCCAUUAUAAUGGAAUAUUCUACUCUAGAGCUUUACUCAAUGGCUUGAAAAUGUGAUGUUCUACCUCGUUUUAUUUGGCAUCCUGCACAUUCUUUGGUACCAAAUAUCCUCAUUACUUGUUAUGUUUACUGGUAAUUAUUUUCAUCCCAGAGCUGACCUCUAUAUUAUUAACAAUGAUUGUGUUUGUGUUAUAAUUUGCUUGUAUGGCUGUUCUUUUUUUUUUAACCACCAUUUUAUUGGAAACCUGCAUGUUCUGUGUGUAUUUAUGCCUAUUAUUUAUUUCAGUGAUCUGACACAUCUUGUUUGAAUGACAGUUACUGUACUUUGAAAUGUGGAAUUAAAACACCAAAUGGAA
ensembl:lncRNA